GGGGCUGUAGCUCAGGGGAUUAGAGCACCCGCCUUCUAAGCGGAUGGUCGUGCGUUCGAAUCGCACCAGCCCUGCCA
rnacentral:tRNA from 1 species